CGGGACCACACGAGAUUUCGCGGGUCGAAGCGACUGUCAAUAUAUUCGCGGAUGGAAGAAUUGUAGCACUUUGAGCCGUGCUUAUAUAAGAGUGUAAAAUGUGAAACGGUUACCGGCCGGCGCACCGAAUUCAUAGGUUAGGACGGCAUGUAUACAUAUUUCGUAACCGCAACAAGUGUUUUUCGGAUAAGUAUGUCAACUAAUGCUUCUCAGAACGAGAAAGUAUGGAGUUAGAAAAAUCGUUGCCUAUUGUACGCUCCUCCGAACAGCAUUGUCGGAUUACAGUAAAAACGACCAAAU